rnacentral:lncRNA from 1 species
CUGUCCUACUACAUUCAUUAUUGCAUUCUGUUUUUCGUUUUUGUUUGGAUCCUCUCUUUAUAUAUGCACCAUAUGUAAUUUGAAUUAUUCCAAAUAUGUUGUGUGUAGCGUUUUAUACACCGUUAAACACUGGCCGCUACGUUCUUCAAUAGCUUUAUGGUUUUCUUAAAGAGUGUCCUAGCUAUGUAACACAUCAUUAAUUAAAUAGUCUAAUUUGCGUAUGAACCGAUUUGUAUAUCUAUGUAACGGAUAUAUAUGACUCAGUUUGAGGAUAAUGUAAAUUCCGUCAACUUUGAAACCACAUUUAGGAUUCACACAUCCUAUAUAUAAAUUAGGGAU